rnacentral:snRNA from 1 species
CGGUGCCCAACUGCGCGCUA